CGCUGUGGAUGUGUAAAUUGCUAUCGUGGCACUUUGUUCAAUUGGCCAGCAAGUGUUUUUCUUCUGAAACCUGCCUUUAUUGGCAAAGGUGUGGGAAGAUGGGAUUUUCACCCAGCAAGUGGCUGUUUGAGAGCAUUCGGAAAGGAAUUUGAUUUGUGAUAGGCGUUGUUGGUAACUUGCAGUAAGGGAAAUUUGUAGUGUAACGGCGGAAAUUCGUUUCGAAAGCGCACCUAGUGAAAGAUGCUAUUUUUAUUUCAUUCAUUGAAGUAUCCUAACAGUGCAGUGAACAAGACGUAAACUAUUUCAACACGGACGGGGCUCGCCGCUGCAGUGACACAAAUUUCAUGCGUUAUGGUAAACCAUUAGAGUCAUUGCCAUCCAUAGCGAAAGACGAAAAACCGAUAUUACGAAAUGCAACAGCUAUGAGAGAAAUGAAUCUAUCCAGAGCUAUCUAGGACGAGUGAAAAAGUCAUGUGCUUAUCCACCUGCUGAGAGGAUGAAUCCAUCAAAGAUUUAUUUGUGUUAGUGAGUGACUGGAAAAAACCUCUACGCUGAGGAAGUGGAUUUUUUCUGACUUUGCUCCCGAGAUUGUCACUUGCGUUGGGAGUCUCCGAAAGAGAAUCUGUCUCUGAGUGAAUGUGACUCUGAAAUCAUCCCCUAUUCGUUUAGUUGUAUGUGUGCAAAAGUCAUGGCAACGGUUCUUGCAAAUGAUUCAUAAUUGUUAGUCUUGGAGUGAUGGUACAACGUGAAAGAAAUCAAACCGUACUUUGCCUAGUGAACAUCAUGAAGAUUUUUCAUUUCUUUGAAUAAAAAACUCCUCAAUGUCUGAUAUUUUUCGUUGAAAGCAGUGAUGGUAAAAUUAGAGAAUAAAAGGGUAACAAGUGUUAUUUAAAAUAAAAAGAAAGUUCUGUUCACCUCUCUUGGCAUCUUUUUCGGAAGUGUGAAAAUGUACUCGUCAGGAUGGAAUACACCUUCGCUUGACAUGCUGUUUAAAAACUAGGAACUAUAUGGAAAAAAUAAAUACAAGGAACUACAAUAGAUAAUGAUUUAUAUUACGUGUUAUCCUGUUGAAGUUGAAUCAACUUUGUAAAGUUCAUGUUGGUGUAAUUACUAAAUUUGUUAUCGUUCGUUGCAUUGACUUACGGAAACUUCGAAAGCAUCGUGUUGAGACGAAGAAAACGUGCGUUAAAUUGUGUUAUAGCUUGGAAAUUGUCAUUGGUCAGCAGAGAGCAAUCAAGUUCUUCUAUGAUGGGCUGCCUAAAUAGAUUUUCGUCGACUAGAGUAGCAUUGAGAUGUGAUAUGUUGUUGCGUCCCCUGGUGAAUGUGUCCAUUCUAGUGUUGGUGUUAAAUAUCAAUGUAGUGAGUGGAUAUAAUCAGUUACAUAUCGGUGGAAUUUUUCCAAUUAACGGCAAAGGAGGCUGGCAAGGUGGUCAGGCCUGUAUGCCAGCUGCUAAGCUAGCUCUUCAGGAUGUUAACGAGAAGGAGGAUCUCUUACCGGGAUUUAACUUGACACUUCAUAGCAACGAUAGUGAGGUAAGUCUAUUCAAAGCAUCCCAAUGCAAGAAAAUCCUGUGAUUCAUAUAUAAACUAAAGUAAUCUGAAGACCAAUCAAAAACUUUUUGCUCAAAAAUGUUGCAAAAGUUACUAUUCCGACGGAACUAUUUUCUACUAAUUAGUUACACCAAGCAUAACC